GCCAGUGUGGCAUAGUGGUUUGAGUAUUAGACUAUGACUCUGGAGGCCAGGGUUUGAAUCCUGGCUCAGCCA